UGCUUUUUCAUUUAUUAUCUG
rnacentral:piRNA from 1 species